UACGUAGGGUGCAAGCGUUGUCCGGAAUUAUUGGGCGUAAAGAGCUCGUAGGCGGUUUGUCGCGUCUGCUGUGAAAACGCGGGGCUCAACUCCGCGCCUGCAGUGGGUACGGGCAGACUAGAGUGCAGUAGGGGAGACUGGAAUUCCUGGUGUAGCGGUGGAAUGCGCAGAUAUCAGGAGGAACACCGGUGGCGAAGGCGGGUCUCUGGGCUGUAACUGACGCUGAGGAACGAAAGCGUGGGUAGCGAACAGG
rnacentral:rRNA from 1 species